rnacentral:rRNA from 1 species
GGGGAAUAUUGGACAAUGGGCGAAAGCCUGAUCCAGCCAUGCCGCGUGAGUGACGAAGGUCUUCGGAUUGUAAAGCUCUUUUGGCGGGGACGAUAAUGACGGUACCCGCAGAAUAAGCCCCGGCUAACUUCGUGCCAGCAGCCGCGGUAAUACGAAGGGGGCUAGCGUUGUUCGGAAUCACUGGGCGUAAAGCGCACGUAGGCGGAUUUGCCAGUCAGGGGUGAAAUCCCGGGGCUCAACCUCGGAACUGCCUUUGAUACAGCAAGUCUAGAGUCCGGAAGAGGUGAGUGGAAUUCCUAGUGUAGAGGUGAAAUUCGUAGAUAUUAGGAAGAACACCAGUGGCGAAGGCGGCUCACUGGUCCGGCACUGACGCUGAGGUGCGAAAGCGUGGGGAGCAAAC